AGAGUUUGAUCAUGGCUCAGAGCGAACGCUGGCGGCAGGCCUAACACAUGCAAGUCGAACGAACUCUUCGGGAGUUAGUGGCGGACGGGUGAGUAACACGUGGGAACGUGCCUUUAGGUUCGGAAUAACUCAGGGAAACUUGUGCUAAUACCGAAUGUGCCCUUCGGGGGAAAGAUUUAUCGCCUUUAGAGCGGCCCGCGUCUGAUUAGCUAGUUGGUGAGGUAAAAGGCUCACCAAGGCGACGAUCAGUAGCUGGUCUGAGAGGAUGAUCAGCCACAUUGGGACUGAGACACGGCCCAAACUCCUACGGGAGGCAGCAGUGGGGAAUCUUGCGCAAUGGGCGAAAGCCUGACGCAGCCAUGCCGCGUGAAUGAUGAAGGUCUUAGGAUUGUAAAAUUCUUUCACCGGGGACGAUAAUGACGGUACCCGGAGAAGAAGCCCCGGCUAACUUCGUG
rnacentral:rRNA from 1 species